rnacentral:rRNA from 1 species
UACGUAGGGGGCAAGCGUUGUCCGGAUUUAUUGGGCGUAAAGAGCGUGUAGGCGGCUUUACAGGUCCGUUGUGAAAACUCGAGGCUCAACCUCGAGACGCCGGUGGAAACCGUAAGGCUAGAGUCCGGAAGAGGAGAGUGGAAUUCCGUGGUGUAGCGGUGAAAUGCGCAGAUAUCAGGAGGAACACCCGUGGCGAAAGCGGCUCUCUGGGACGGUACUGACGCUGAGACGCGAAAGCGUGGGGAGCAAACAGG